UUGAGUGCUCCGUCGACGUCGUGUCCUACAACGGCGCUGCCUACGCCGUCAUGCUGGUAUUGCAUAUCUACAAUAUUGUUGGUAAGAAAUAUAUACAUUGUUAAUACUCUUAUUUCAUAUACUCGUAGUAGGAGUUAUGGCUUCAAUCCAUUUCACCUGUUUAGACUGGAGAGCAUUGUAAUGGACUGAUUAUAGACAACAUGUCUCAAGAUUAUUG
rnacentral:sRNA from 1 species